CCAUAUCGUUCUGAACAUACUCCCUGUUGCCUGAUUUUGGAAGCUAAACAGAGCUGGACCUGGUUAGUAAUUGGCUGGGAGACUACACGGAAAUAUUGGGG
rnacentral:rRNA from 1 species